rnacentral:rRNA from 1 species
AACGAACGCUGGCGGCAUGCCUAACACAUGCAAGUCGAACGAGAAGCUUCUUCGGAAGUAGAGAGUGGCGCACGGGUGAGUAACGCGUGGAUAACGUGCCUUUCGGCGGGGGAUAACUCGGGGAAACCUGGGCUAAUACCGCAUACGUUUGCGAUACCUUCGGGUGACGCAAAGAAAGCAGGGUAACUUGCACCGGAAGAUCGGUCCGCGUUCCAUCAGCUAGUUGGUGAGGUAAUGGCUCACCAAGGCUACGACGGAUAGCUGGUCUGAGAGGAUGAUCAGCCACACUGGGACUGAGACACGGCCCAG